CUUCUUCGGAAGCAGAGACCGGCGCACGGGUGCGUAACGCGUAUGCAAUCUGCCUUUCACAGAGGGAUAGCCCAGAGAAAUUUGGAUUAAUACCUCAUAGCAUAGCACAAUCGCAUGAUUGAGCUAUUAAAGUCACAACGGUGAAAGAUGAGCAUGCGUCCCAUUAGCUGGUUGGUAAGGUAACGGCUUACCAAGGCUACGAUGGGUAGGGGUCCUGAGAGGGAGAUCCCCCACACUGGUACUGAGACACGGACCAGACUCCUACGGGAGGCAGCAGUGAGGAAUAUUGGUCAAUGGGCGCAAGCCUGAACCAGCCAUGCCGCGUGCAGGAUGACGGUCCUAUGGAUUGUAAACUGCUUUUGUACGAGAAGAAACACUCCUUCGUGAAGGAGCUUGACGGUAUCGUAAGAAUAAGGAUCGGCUAACUCCGUGCCAGCAGCCGCGGUAAUACGGAGGAUCCAAGCGUUAUCCGGAAUCAUUGGGUUUAAAGGGUCCGUAGGCGGUCUGGUAAGUCAGUGGUGAAAGCCCAUCGCUCAACGGUGGAACGGCCAUUGAUACUGCUGGACUUGAAUUAUUAGGAAGUAACUAGAAUAUGUAGUGUAGCGGUGAAAUGCUUAGAGAUUACAUGGAAUACCAAUUGCGAAGGCAGGUUACUACUAAUGGAUUGACGCUGAUGGACGAAAGCGUGGGUAGCGAACAGGAUUAGAUACCCUGGUAGU
rnacentral:rRNA from 1 species